rnacentral:rRNA from 1 species
GACGAACGCUGGCGGCGUGCUUAACACAUGCAAGUCGAACGGAAAGGCCCUGCUUUUGUGGGGUGCUCGAGUGGCGAACGGGUGAGUAACACGUGAGUAACCUGCCCUUGACUUUGGGAUAACUUCAGGAAACUGGGGCUAAUACCGGAUAGGAGCUCCUGCUGCAUGGUGGGGGUUGGAAAGUUUCGGCGGUUGGGGAUGGACUCGCGGCUUAUCAGCUUGUAGGUGGGGUAGUGGCUUACCAAGGCUUUGACGGGUAGCCGGCCUGAGAGGGUGACCGGCCACAUGGGGACUGAGAUACGGCCCAGACUCCUACGGGAGGCAGCAGUGGGGAAUAUUGCACAAUGGGCGGAAGCCUGAUGCAGCAACGCCGCGUGCGGGAGGACGGCCUUCGGGUUGUAAACCGCUUUCGCCUGUGACGAAGCGUGAGUGACGGUAAUGGGUAAAGAAGCACCGGCUAACUACGU